GACGGAGGGUGCAAGCGUUGUUCGGAUUGACUGGGCGUAAAGGGCGUGUAGGCGGUCGGCCAAGUCUGAUGUGAAAGCCCGAGGCUCAGCCUCGGAAGUGCGUCGGAAACUAGUCGGCUGGAGCGCGAUAGAGGAGGGUGGAAUUCCUGGUGUAGCGGUGAAAUGCGUAGAUAUCGGGAGGAACACCGGUGGCGAAGGCGGUUCUCUGGGCCUGUACUGACGCUGAGGAGCGAAAGCGUGGGGAGCGAACAGG
rnacentral:rRNA from 1 species